rnacentral:rRNA from 1 species
AUUGAACGCUGGCGGCAGGCUUAACACAUGCAAGUCGAGCGGGGGAAGGUAGCUUGCUACCGGACCUAGCGGCGGACGGGUGAGUAAUGCUUAGGAAUCUGCCUAUUAGUGGGGGACAACAUCUCGAAAGGGAUGCUAAUACCGCAUACGUCCUACGGGAGAAAGCAGGGGAUCUUCGGACCUUGCGCUAAUAGAUGAGCCUAAGUCGGAUUAGCUAGUUGGGGGGGUAAAGGCCUACCAAGGCGACGAUCUGUAGCGGGUCUGAGAGGAUGAUCCGCCACACUGGGACUGAGACACGGCCCAGACUCCUACGGGAGGCAGCAGUGGGGAAUAUUGGACAAUGGGGGGAACCCUGAUUCAGCCAUGCCGCGUGUGUGAAGAAGGCCUUAUGGUUGUAAAGCACUUUAAGCGAGGAGGAGGCUACUCUAGUUAAUACCUAGGGAUAGUGGACGUUACUCGCAGAAUAAGCACCGGCUAACUCUGUGCCAGCCGCCGCAGUAA